ensembl:lncRNA
AUGUAAUUUCUUAUGCAGCAUGAAGGUGUGUGGGUUCAUGUGAGUGUGUGUGAGGGGGGUUGUUGUUGAGAUUGACACCGAGCAAACAGCGGGCGCAGACCAACCUCAGCUUUUAUUUUGGAACACACACAGGAGGAGGAGGGUGGGUUGCAGUCCCACUGUGGGUAGGUGUCUUUGUGGCCUGUGAAAUGAUGGAGAAGGAGACCAUAUGGAGUGUCCUGGUCCACCUCACUGACUGCACCAUCCCUCUGCAACAGUGUCCUGGUCCACCUCACUGACUGCACCAUCCCUCUGCAAAAGUGUCCUUGCCAACGUCACUGACCUGCCAGGCAUAAAUCGGUGAAUGUUUCUGACUGAAAAAGCAAUACCAAUGUUAAAAAGCUCAUGUGUGAUGGUCUAGCUAAAUAAGUAUUUUCUAGUUCCCAUGUGUUUUUUUAUGUUUUAUAUGUGCAACCAGCAGGUUGCUCUUUCCGUUGCUAAGUCAGUUGGAAUUUUAGGUCGGUCAAAAAAUAGGGGCAGUACAUGGUCGGUCUCAGCUCAUCAUAUUCUUGUUUUAAUAUUUUUUUUGGUUUUGUUUGGCUGAGGGGAUGUGGAGGUACACUCUGCAUUUGUAUUUCUGCACAAGAUCCCGGUAAUUAUCAAGAGAACAAGCCCAAAUGAGAUAUCGAGAGAAGACCAACCCUGGAGUCAAGUGCAUUACUAUCAGUGUUCGUCACACAUAGGUGACCGUGGCGCAUGGAGUACAGAGGGCGUGCUGGGAACCGCAGAGUUGGCGUUUCGAACCCUGGCUGCUCCACGUCCCAUGUGGAAGUACUUGAGAAAGACACCCAACUCCUACUGCUCCCACUGUGUGGGAUGGGUUAUACAUGUAAACCACAGCUUAAAAUGUAAACCAUCAUUUGCAAUGCAAAUGCGUCAACUUUAAUGACAGCAAUGUAAGUCGCUUUGGAUAAAAGUGUCAGCUUGAAUGACAUGUAAAUAAACCUGCC